rnacentral:rRNA from 1 species
CUACGGGUGGCAGCAGUGAGGAAUCUUCCGCAAUGGGGGCAACCCUGACGGAGCGACACCGCGUGAAGGAUGAAGGUCUUUUCGAUCGUAAACUUCUGUUCUGAGGGACGAAAUUUUUGACGGUACCUCAGGAGAAAGCACCGGCUAAUUCUGUGCCAGCAGCCGCGGUAAGACAGAAGGUGCAAGCGUUACUCGGAAUUACUGGGCGUAAGGCGUCCGCAGGCGCUUUGUAAAGUCUGACGUAAAAGCACAGAGCUCAACUCCGUGUAUGUGUCGGAAACUUACAGAGUAGAGUCAUGUAGAGGCAUCUGGAAUGUCGUGUGUAGGGGUAAAAUCCGUUGAUCCACGAUGGAACGCCAAAAGUGAAGACAGGAUGCUGGACAUGUACUGACGCUCAGGGACGAAAGCGUGGGGAGCGAACGGGAUUAGAUACCCCGGUAGUC